AGCUAAUAGAUACCCUGGUAGUCCACGCUGUAAACGAUGGGUACUAGGCUUUGUGGGAAUAGACCCCUGCAGAGCCGGAGCUAACGCAAUAAGUACCCCGCCUGGGAAGUACGGUCGCAAGACUAAAACUCAAAGGAAUUGACGGGGGCCCGCACAAGCGGUGGAUCAUGUGGUUUAAAAUUCGAAGCAACGCGCAAAACCUUACCUGGGUUUGACAUCCCCGGACAUCCGUAGAAAUACGGCUUCUGUAGCAAUACAGCCGGGAGACAGGUGCUGCAUGGCUGUCGUCAGCUCGUGUGGUGACAUGUUGGGUUAAGUCCCGCAACGAGCGCAACCCUUGUCUUUAGUUGCCAGCAUUCAGUUGGGCACUCUAGAGAGACUGCCGUGGUUAACACGGAGAAGUGGGGAUGACGUCAAGUCCUCAUGGCCUUUA
rnacentral:rRNA from 1 species